rnacentral:lncRNA from 1 species
UAAGUCAGGCUCUAAUCGCCAAAAAGAUAGUUGGUGCAUUAUCUCAGAGAUAGCCGAGAAAGGAGAUAUCUCUCGUCUCAAUCGACAGGCAGACACAGCAGAAACUCCAAUGAGUACCAGAUCUCGACCAGCUCUUCUGUUCCUUAUCUUCUUGCUACAUCCUUGGGACUUUGUCUUUACUCCUCCUUUAAGAACUGUCUCCAGUCCAUCCUACCCCAGACAUCGACUACACACCCAGUUCCGGCGGAAGAAAAGUUCAACUGUAACGAGGUAUUUGUCCUCCGAUUCUGAUUGUCGGGCUUGUUGUUUAUGUAAAAAC